CCUGCCUUUUGCCUUUUUGCCCGUCUGUCUGCCUGAUCCCGGUUCCACUGACUGUCCUCAGGUUAUGACAUGAGGCGAUACACUUUGCUGCAAUCAUCUCCCGUUUUGCCAUUUCCACAAGUAAAUAUGCCCUGGAGUGGAACACACACUAGAUCAUUUCUGGGUAUCCGACCUGUCUGGCAUGAUGGUCAUUAAAGCUGAGCCAGCGGUGCCGGUGGGCCUGCUGCUUCCCUGCUUGCGUCCCUGUUGCACUGCACCGAGCUCGCUGGCCUGGAGCCGCUAACAAGCUGUGCAUUCAGACAGUUGAUGCUACAAAUGGAGCUGUGCAGUGGACCAACUCCGGAGAUGAACAACUGAAGCGCUGCUGAAUCCCCUCGGCAAGGGAGGGAGCAAGACCUCCCACCCUCUACUGAAGCUUGGACUGGGGUGGACUCGCAUUUUCUUCCAGCAUAGAAAUCUAUUCAUAAUGUGUUAUUAUGCACUAUAAUACUCACUAAUAAACAACGUAUUCAUAGGGUAUAUUCAAAUGUGUGCAAACAAGCUACUAUUUGUACACAUGAGAAUGGAAAUAAUAAUUGUUACUUGAGUAUUUAUGUAACUAGUAUUUAUGAAUUGUUGUUGUAUUUACAUGUUGCUUAUAGUGAAUAUGGGAAGGAAAGCAUGGUGCUGGAUUGGUUUUAUGACUACUACAGCUGACCUGAAUCUGCCUCUUUUUUACUGCAUUUAAUAAUGAGGAGCUUGUCCAUGUUACCAAACAGAGGAGAAGCAUUACAAUAACACACCUGGUAUUAAUCCCGAUGGUAAUCACAUGAAGGAGGAUAAAGGAUGGGAAACCUAGCAUAUAAAGAGGAAGGGAGGAGGAUAGGGGGACAGAAAGAGAAGGAGAUUAAAAAAAAAAGGACAUUAAAGAGAGAGGGAGGAGGAAGAGAGGAAAGGACAGAGGAAAAUGUUUGUCUGAGGAGCCGACACCAGCUGCACACUGAAGAAACCUAGUGUUUCUGUUUUUCUGCCUCUUUAUUUCACUCUCCUGGAGUCUUUCUUUCAGUCUCAGAUUGUCCUUGACUUGGUACUUUCCAACCUCAUAUUGUCUGACUACAUGUCCGAAAAUACCACACGAACACACACACACACACACAAUCAGGCACAUAACCUUCCAGUUGAGAGGGAGCAGAGCCUAGCCAGCGCACAGGGGAACAAACAGCCUGCUGCAUUUACAGAAUGGGCUCCCUGAUGGCUCGGUCCUAUCAGCUUCUAUAAUCAAUGGAGGCGUCAGGGAGAGCACAGCCACAGCCCUCAGGAGGAAAUGAACAGACUUCAGGCACCUGCCAAGUUCACAAUAAAGAAAUAAAAAGGUCCUGUUAAUUGCAAAGGCUUUGAUGCCGGAGAAAAGAUCAAGCUAAAGAAUUCAUUAAAUCCUUUGAAAAUAAACUCUUCUUCAUUCCUGCUCUUUACUAAAUGGUGCUCUCAGCGAAGA